rnacentral:rRNA from 1 species
UACGUAGGGUACAGGCGUUAAUCGGAAUUACUGGGCGUAAAGCGUGCGCAGGCGGUUUGCUAAGACAGGUGUGAAAUCCCCGGGCUUAACCUGGGAACUGCGCUUGUAACUGGCAAGCUAGAGUGUGGCAGAGGGGGGUGGAAUUCCACGUGUAGCAGUGAAAUGCGUAGAGAUGUGGAGGAACACCGAUGGCGAAGGCAGCCCCCUGGGCUAACACUGACGCUCAUGCACGAAAGCGUGGGGAGCAAACAGG